CCAUGACAUAUUUGAAGGAAUUGUGCCAGUUGAAAUUGCCCUGUGCCUGUCUGUACUUAUCUCCAAGAAGUAUUUCACUUUGGAUGAUCUAAAUCAGUCAAUACACAACUUUCCUUUUACGUGGACUGACAAAACAAAUCUCCCUCAUUCUAUCCCUCUCAACUUUGCAUAAAAAAACCUGUGGGUGGAAAUGCUCAUGAAAAUUGGGCUUUGAUAAGAUUUUUGCCUCUGUUGAUUGGCAGUAAGGUUCCCUAUGAGGAACAAGCAUGGCAGAUCUUGACAGACUUGAAAGAUAUUGUAGACCUUGUUGUCACUCCAGUUCACACUGAAGAUUCUAUAGCAUAUCUUGAUUUUAAGAUCUCAGAACACAGAGUGAGAUUUCAAGAGGUAUUUCCAGAUUCAACACUUCGGCCAAAGCACCAUUACUUGGAGCACUAUCCCCAACUUAUUCGUCAGUUUGGUCCACUGGUGGCAGUUUGGACGAUGCGUUUUGAAUCCAAACAUAGCUUCUUUAAGAGAGUUGUCAGACACACAAGCUGCUUUAAGAAUGUGCUCCAGUCAUUGUCAAUGAAACAUCAAUUUCAGAUAGCAUAUUAUUUGCAUGUGAGCUCUGUCCCCAAACCAUCUCUUGAAGUUACAGAUGUUUCUACACUACCACUUGAUGUUCUAAAUGAAAACAUUGCACAAGCACUGAAGCAAAAAUAUGUGCAUAUUGAGGAGGCAUGUUUGUCGAAAAAUGUAACAUACAAUGGCCUAAAUUACAAGACUGGAAUGAUUUUGGCACAUGGCUCCCUUGCAGGACUCCCAGAGUUUUGUGAAAUUGUCCAAAUGGUUGUUGUGCUAGACGGAUUAUGUUUUAUUGUCAGGAAGCUGAAGGCGUGGUACUUUGAACACUACAGAUCAUUUAUUUUGGAAAAGUCUUUGAAUUCAGAAGUGUUGCUUGUAGAGCCUCAUGAAUUAAGGGAUGUGUACCCACUUGCAGAUUACUGUGUUUCAGGGAUGCAUCUUACAACAGUUAAGAGAUACAUACAUGGUUAGAUUGUCACAAUGGCUUGCACAAAGAACAUAGGGCUUCGAGUACUUUUUGGAAAAGAUGAUGCACACAAAAUGUUCAUUCCUAAUGGCUUGCCUGCAUCCCUGGAUGAUAUGCUUGAGAAAGUAAAGACGACUUUUAAUUUGAUAGGAAACAUAAGGCUGCAGUACUUGGAUGCUGAUUUUGAUGAAUUUGUUAAUGUAACUGACAUUUCUGAAAUACAACAUCUUGGCACCAUAAAGGUAAUUCAGCUACAGGAUGAAAUGUUUCCAGUGCAAGAAUUAGGCUCUCCAGCCACCUCAGGAUUGACCAUGGAGAUGGAUGACGUUACAUCUGCAAUACAGAAUGCAGCACAGAAAGCCCAAACAUUUCCCAUCCUGAGUCUGUUUUGUCCAGAACCCAUCCAUGGCCAACAAAUUUCCCAAUCCCGUGCUUCUCAUAUGAGACUUAGCUUCAAUUAGAAAGGGGAAAUGCUGAAUAUCAAGCUAAUAAGAAGGUGUUGACUGUUGGGUCGAAGAUGAAAAAUGACAUUCUACAAAAAGUGGCAGAACAAAUCUACAAAUUUAAAGCAUAUCCAUUAGACACUGAUUUUAGUGAGGUAGCAGAGGCAUUAGUGGAGAGACAUCCUUGCCUAAAGGAGCUCGGUUCCUGUUGUGGAUCCUAUGGAUUGAAGCAGAGGCUAAAAUUUAAAAUGGCCAACUACAGAAAAAUGCUGAAAUUACAUGGUUGUGCCGAAAUUAAUAUUAAUUCACUAAAAGCUAGAGGUAAUGAAGAUGAUCACCCAUCUAAGAAUAUUAAAAGACCAAGACGAGCAGAGGCAAACUACUGUCCUUGUCUGCCAGUUGGUGAAACGAGAGAGCCUUGAAAAACUGCGCAUAACUCUUUUGAAUGAAGCGAAGAAAAAAAACAAUGAUAAAGUAAUUCGUGAAAUUUUGGCAAAGACUUUUGCCUAUAGGCGUUAUGAAAUCGUCACAGAACAGCCAAAAAUAGCAGAUUUUAUGAAUAGAUGGCCUACUCUUUUCCAGGAGAAUAAGGUAUGUUUUUGGCACGUAAAGCUUAUGUUUGAUUUUACUGUAAUUGCUAUGUUGUCUAAUGAGAACACACUUUUGUUUUUUAUCUUUUAGAUCAAUGCAGAAUUUCUCCGCAUCACAACAGUCCCCCUUCAGAUUCGAUUCUUUGCAGAAUUAGACAGACUUUCCACAAAUCUUGUAAAAGUUAUCAAAGGCAGAGGUGGAGCCAUUUCGUUUCAAAACUAGCCAAUAUGUGUUGGCAUUUGAUGAGACUAGUGACAUAAAUAUAAGGAGAGAGUGUAUCCUUAGAUCCAUCAUUCUCUACCUUGGUGAGGAUGACAAAAACCUGAUAAAAGACUACAUGGAUAUACAAGAUGAGCAGGAAUCAGAUGACCUCUCUAAACAGACAAUGGCCAUCUUUGUGAAACGAAAACCAUGUGAGAGACCCUUUGAAAUGCCAGAUGACGUGGGAAUCGUCAUAGAAGGAAAUGUGGUGUUGAAUAAUUUAAAAUCAGUUGCAUCUGCCUUUUCUUUUCUUUUUGGCCUAAUGUAUUGUUUAAACCUCAGCUACCCACGAGAUUUAAAAUACACAUUUGAGAUGAUACAAAAGUUUUUAUGGACCUUGAAGGUCAGAAAAAGUCCAGCAAGGUGCACAAUCUUUAUGUGAAGUUGCUACAAACAGAGUAAGCAUUUGGGUGGGAGGACAAGUAAUUUAUUAUAAUUAUUUGGCUGAAAUAUUUUUGAUAUCAAGGACCGAUGGUUUAACAUUAUGUAGCAUCUACACUGUUUUGGUUUGUCUGAAGUCUUUAUUAUCCAAGCUUUUCUUCUCUAGGUUGCUGAUUAAUUUUUAUUUGUUGUGACUCAGCAAAGGAAAAA